rnacentral:rRNA from 1 species
CCCCGUAACUUCGGGAGAAGGGGUGCUCCAGAGAUGGAGCCGCAGAGAAUCGGCCCAAGCAACUGUUUACCAAAAACACAGGUUUGUGCUAAAUCGAAAGAUGACGUAUACGAGCUGACGCCUGCCCGGUGCUGGAAGGUUAAGAGGAGAUGUGCAAGCAUUGAAUCGAAGCCCCAGUGAACGGCGGCCGUAACGAUAACGGUCCUAAGGUAGCGAAAUUCCUUGUCAGGUAAGUUCUGACCCGCAUGAAAGGCGUAAUGAUUUGGGCACUGUCUCAACAGCCCGCCCGGCGAAAUUGUAGUACCGGUGAAGAUGCCGGUUACCCGCGACAAGACGGAAAGACCCCAUGGAGCUUUACUGUAGCCUAAUAUUGGGUUUCGAUGUUGCAUGCACAGGAUAGAUGGGACUCUGGGAAGCCAAGGCUUUGGCUUUGGCGGAGAGGCCGUUGGGAUACCAUCCUUGCGAUAUUGGAAUUCUAACCUGCGGCUCUGAAUCGAGUCGGGGGACAUUGUUAGGUGGGCAGUUUGACUGGGGCGGUCGCCUCCUAAAGAGUAACGGAGGCGUUCAAAGGUUCGCUCAGCUUGAACGGAAAUCAAGCAAAAGAGUGCAAACGCAGAAGCGAGCCUAACUGCGAGACUGACGGGUCGAGCAGUAACGAAAGUUGGAGUUAGUGAUCCGGUGGUAUGUGAGUGGAAAUGCCAUCGCUCAACGGAUAAAAGUUACCCUGGGGAUAACAGGCUGAUCUCCCCCAAGAGUCCACAUCGACGGGGAGGUUUGGCACCUCGAUGUCGGCUCAUCGCAUCCUGGGGCUGUAGUCGGUCCCAAGGGUUGGGCUGUUCGCCCAUUAAAGCGGUACGCGAGCUGGGUUCAGAACGUCGUGAGACAGUUCGGUCCCUAUCUGUCGUGGGCGCAGGAUAUUUGAUGGGAGCUGUCCCUAGUACGAGAGGACCGGGACGGACGUACCUCUGGCGCACCAGUUGUUCCGCCAGGAGCAUAGCUGGGCAACUACGUACGGAUCGGAUAAACGCUGAAAGCAUCUAAGCGUGAAGCCGACCCAAAGAUAAGAUAUCCCAUUGUUUCAAACAAGUAAGACCCCUUGAAGACUACAAGGUUGAUAGGCACGAUGUGUAAGUG